GAAAAUACAAAGUUUGAGUUUAUUUAUGUAGUUUUAAAGUUAAAAAAUAUACCACAUCUGAUGACUAUGUUUAAUGUGCCAUUUCAACUCCAGGAAGGAGCCAGCAUCACUACUUUUCUUGAAAAAGUGGAUCAAAGACAGCCCUUCCCCCUUUGCAUUGGUCGGGACAAGAAGACAGUCCAAAGGUUCUUCAUCAUUGUGGACCAGAAGGCAAUUCCAUGCAAGGCUCAGACAUCAGUGGCUGCUUUUGAUGAGCUAUUCAAAGCUCACUUCGUCUUCAGUCUAUCCUGUGAUGAAGCUCUCUGCAGUUUCUACACAUUCAUUCAAACAACCGUGUACAAUAUGGACGUUGGAAAUGCAAAAGAAACCCUACGGGUCAAGGAACUUGGAAGGAAGGAAGCAAGACUACUGCGAGAGCGCUGAUGUGUCAUCUGUUUUGAAAGUUUCAUCAGUUCCAGUGCCCAGGUAUGAGCUCACCAGAAGCCCCAUCCUCUUCACAUCUAUUCAGAUCUCAGCAUUGUCUUCUUCCAAUCACUACCACCACCAGGAGAUUUACCGUGUGUUACCUAUUCAAAUCAUGCAAACUGAAUCUGGGUGAUGUGAUCCGGGCUGACAGGGUUUUAGAAGGAAUGCUGGACCCCUGCUGUAAAACUCCUAUCCCUAAAAGAGGAAUCAACUAAUCUGUGCAAGUUAUGCUUAGUGCACCCUAAUUAGCUGCAACUGUUUCUAAUCCAGUGAGUUUAAAGUAUGCACUUCUUGUUACCAAUUGUCAAGGAAAGAGCUUUCUGUCCAAUUUGGAGCAUCUUAUGUCAGAUAGCGCAGAUGUAGUCAAAGCCCUGGAUGUUAAUGUCGUUGUGAUGCUCUGGCCAACAGGCCGACAGCUUUCUCUGGCAAUAAGAUCAGUGCUUUGCGGUCCGGUGUGUGUCAGGAUAUGUUAGAGCUAAGCGUUUCAUUGUGUCAGUUGGUGGCAGCUUGUAAUUCAGGUUUGAUAAAGGUGGCAGAUUCAUUGCUUUGAAAGUAAGGCUCAUGACUUUAGGAAUGUCAGGAAUUUCAUAUUACACAUCACUGAGAGACAGGGGCCUCCAUCCUGGCUCGUCCCUGCAAGUGUGGUCAGGAUUCAUAAUUUUUUACCACAUGGAAGGACUUACUCGUUCGGGUUAGUAACAUUACUACUACUACACUGUAUCUGUCAUAUUUGUAGGAUCGUUUGAUCGUGCUAUUAACAGGUUGCACCCUGUAGAAAAGUGUCCCAUCUAAAUUUAUGUCUAAAAAUUUAUAUUAGUUUUUGUCUUUCAGAAACCUUUGUCUUCUGUCACAAAAAUGCUAAAAACAAAAACAUCCAGCAAAGGUAAAAUACACUGAAAUUAAUCCAUUCUUCUCUCUAUUCCUGAAAUACUUAAUAUGCUCAUGGUGCCACUCUGUAUGAAUUUUGGAAGACUAAGGAAAUACUAAAAUUCUGAAUGUGUACAACAUCACAAUUUCUCAGCUGAAUUAGGGGGAGCCUUCAGACAGAACAGCCUUGAUGAACUUUUAUGAAAAAUUUGGCCUUGAAAUCUAAGCUCAUGUAUCACAUUUGAGUGUCAGAGUUUUUCCAGGUUCAAACUGAAUCACCAGCUAGACUUGGAAUACGCUGACAGACUGACAAUUUGAUGAGGUGCAUGAUUGGCAUGGGGCACAGUCUCCUUUGUAUUGUUGGUCGACUCGUCAGAUGUACAGUGAAUCGAUAUUUUCACGUUGUGAUAGUAAUUAUGUAUAGGAGCCCACAUUCUGUGGGCAAAGAAGUAGUGGAGUAAUAUGCAUUCUGUAAAGCAAAAAGCUUACACAUAUUUAUAAUUAGAUCCAUUGCGCUUGAGUGUUGCCUCCUCACAGUAUCUAUGCAGCUCUGUUUAUAGCAUGUUGCUAAGCAUCAGACUGCCAGUCAAUUUUCACCAAAACCAAAAUAACUACUUAAUGGAUGGAUAAUGGAUUUUUAUAUUUGAGUUUUCAGUCGAUGCAGUUCUGAGCACAGUAUUUGCAAUAGUCAAGUUAUUGUUGAUAUUUACAUAGGAACAAGUGUAUGACACCCCCUCUCGUCACACCCUCUAUUUGGGUACGUUUCUUCCAAAAAAAAAAAGAAAAAAGGAAGAAACAUCAGGAAGAUCCACAGGGUAGAGAUUUCUCUUCUAGAACAUACAGUCUCAUGGACCAAACAGACCAACAGAGUCAUAAAAUAUAUAGAUCACAAUGCCAAACCUCUGGUACAUGGCAAAACUUUCAAUUCAGUAAAAACAGACAAGAUGCAUUUUGCUUUGACAGAACAAAAAUAUAUUUUAGAAGUAACUAUUUAAAUAAAAUUGAGAAUUGAUACGAAUUGCUUUGCAUUGGCAUGCCAGAUUUUAAUUGGUGAUAUUUGAAAUUUUACUUCCUAACUUCCUAGCUCAAUGUCCUGAUAUUUUCUAUGAAGCUAGGGAAGCUUCACACAUGUCUGUGUGGAUGGGCUCACGAAUCUAUUGUCUACAAAAGGCCCCAAAGUGAGCAGUGAAGCCAUUAAUGAGUAGUCUUUGGAAUAUUUAAGCCUAUUAACAAAACAUUACUUGUGUCCUUCAGAUUUGGACAGUAGAAGUCUGCAUUUCUCAGCUGCUUGUGGAGGAGUCUUUGGAACAUCCUUGUUUCCACAUUAUGAUGUAUUCAGUCUUGAAAUAUUGACUCUAAAGGAUGCAUCCCCUGAAUAAAAAUUAAUUGAGGCCAAAUUAAGUCCCCUUGUGAAAUAUUGCUUGGCCUGUCCUGUGAAGUUAGCUUUGAGCAGACCUGCAUACUCUUCUCUCCACUUCUACCUCAGAUAAUCACACCAUGUGAUUGAUUCUGCGGUUUCUCUGGGUGGCACUUGGCGUUCAGUGAAGUCCAAGGCAUGUUGGCAAAGUCAAUGGCUCAACAUUUUUGGCAUAUUGGAUUAUGAAUUCCUUCACUGGCUGAAAAAAUGGGAGCUGAAAAUGAAUGAGUAGCGCAGUCCUAACCUUGCUGAAGUGUUUGCUCUAACCUUUAUCAAAACUGAUAGUAUACUGUAGAUAUUUAUACUGUUGUACUAUGAUGACUGAUAACACUUUUUUAUAUGAUGGACUAAUUAAAAUAAGACUAGUAACUAGACAUUAUUUCUGAGCAACACAUUAGCAUGUUCCCAUUGACUUGGAUAUUGCCAAGGUCUGUUAUCUUUUUUGGUGUUACUUUUAGAGAUGAAUAAUAUUGCAGUGGAACAGUCAAACAUUUAAGUGUCAUUAUGUACUAAUAAAGCAGUUUUGUAUUAUGGUUCAUUAAAGCUAUGCCUCCAAAUACGUAAUGACAAAUAAUCAUUUAUUACGUGCUGCAGCUGUGCAUUAAAAUUGCAUUUCCUGUGGACCCUUACGUCACAGAAGGGCUUCCUCAGCAAAUUAGAAAUUCAAACAACUGUCAAAAAGUCUUCAAAGAAUAGCCAGAUGGUGAAUAUCUGAGCUGACAGCCAGGGAGCUCGUGUUCUUUGUCACCAAAACUGACUCAAACAAGGACAUAACAUGAACGGCAAGACACAAAACAAAACUGAGGCUUGUUUCUUUUGAAAUAACAUGGAUUGAUAACCAUUUAAAUAAAUGAGAAAAUACUGAUGCUGUAAAAACACUUCUAUUACGUAAUUAGAAUGACAACAGCAGGGGAUAGUAUAAAGGAGAAGACCGUGGUAUUGGCCACUGUGGUUCACCAUCAAUAGAGGUUUGCAAUCACAAAAAGGUCAUCCCAUUGUGUCCUGGCAAGGCAGGGGCUCUUUGAAAAGAGCAAUUACAGCAUUCAGCGCUGCCAGGGCCCUGACUUAUAUCUCUUCAGAGAGUCUGCUCUACACAUAGUCCAUUUUGCUUUUGCCCUAUUUACUAUCAUUCUGUCUUCACAUGCUGUUCUGAGCUCUUGUUACGACUGCUGUGGCUUCCAGUACAAAGACCUAAUUAAAGUAAUAGCAAGGGAUAAACAGAUAAACAAGCUGGCAGAUGAACUGCAGGCCAUGACGGCAGUUUGAUAAUAUGUAAACCUCCCACGCUGCUUGCAUAAAAUCCAUCUCAACCAGCCAGUUAGCAAGUCAGGAAGACCAGCCAAGGGCUACACCAAAGCUGAUUACAAAUAAGCAUUAAUAUGAUACAGCUCUGUGUAAUUAUUUAAGAGAUGUCCAGUGGUCUCAUAAAACAUGCCAUUAAAAUUAAGUCAAAUUCGAUUUCAAAUAUAUUGUUGAACUUGCAUUUGAACAUGUUUAAGCAUCUAUAUGGGUGUGUAUGUGAAGUGUGAAUGUAUUCAAAGCAUGUGCAGUAGCUCCAGGCGAGAUAGCAGAAUAGGGAACGGGUGACUAAUGAGAACUUGUUUUACCACCGUUGCCUUGACUCUCUGGGUGUAGUGCUUUAUCGUGACUGUGCAUCAAGUCCGUCGUUUAACCAUGGGACCCUGUCUUCACAAGGAAGGGCUUGACGCAGGUGUCGGAGAAGGAUUGCAGAGAUCCAGGAAUCUGUUGUCGUCCUUGAUACUGCAUAGUCCAGGAUUAUUGAUCCAAGGAAACACACUCAAUCAUGACUGUGUGCUUUCUGUAGAGCCAGCAAAAAAUUCCCUCGCCUGAAAAUGAGUCCCAAGGAGCAACCCCCUUCAGGUUUCCAAACACAAAGAAACACAGAAAACACAUAUAAAAAUGUGUGAGCAUGCAGCUUUUAAUCUUGUCCUGAAUUGCUGAAACUGAAGAGAGUUCAGUUUGCACAUGUGAGAGAAAGAAACAGUGAUGUGAAAAGGGAAAAGAAAGUAAAGACACAGAUACAGCAAGUGUGAAUGUUUUUUUUUUCGGUCUGUUUGUGUUGUUUGUUUGAUAGACUGGUGACAUACACAGGCCUGUCAGUGUAUCAUGGGAUAGGCUCAGUGCUAUAGGAGAGGAAUGUAUGGAUAACAAUAAUUACAAAAACAAUGUGAUAAGACAUUUAUUUUUGCGCUUCAUACCUGAGAAACAAUGUGAUUUAGUAAUACAAUAGUGGUACAAAAAAAAUAAAAUAAAUUAAAACAUUUUCAACCUAAGUCACAAUCACGUAGGAGGGAAUAUAUUGGUAGAAUUACCUCUACUGACAGUAAGUGUGCGUGUGUGUGUUGUGUGUG